rnacentral:rRNA from 1 species
CAUCGGUGACAGGUGGUGCAUGGUUGUCGUCAGCUCGUGUCGUGAGAUGUUGGGUUAAGUCCCGCAACGAGCGCAACCCCUAUUGUUAGUUGCCAUCAUUCAGUUGGGCACUCUAGCGAGACUGCCGGUAAUAAACCGGAGGAAGGUGGGGAUGACGUCAAAUCAUCAUGCCCCUUAUGACCUGGGCUACACACGUGCUACAAUGGUUGGUACAACGAGUUGCGAGUCGGUGACGGCGAGCUAAUCUCUUAAAAGCCAAUCUCAGUUCGGAUUGUAGGCUGCAACUCGCCUACAUGAAGUCGGAAUCGCUAGUAAUCGCGGAUCAGCACGCCGCGGUGAAUACGUUCCCGGGCCUU